CCUCGAAUCAGGUGGGACUACCCGCUGAACUUAAGCAUAUCAAUAAGCGGAGGAAAAGAAACUAACAAGGAUUCCCCUAGUAACGGCGAGUGAAGCGGGAUGAGCUCAAAUUUAAAAUCUGAUAGUCUUUGGCUGUCCGAGUUGUAAUCUAGAGAAGUGUUUUCCGCGUUGGACCAUGUACAAGUUUCCUGGAACGGAACGUCAUAGAGGGUGAGAAUCCCGUCCUUGACAUGGACUACCGGUGCUUUGUGAUACACUCUCAACGAGUCGAGUUGUUUGGGAUUGCAGCUCAAAAUGGGAGGUAAAUUCCUUCUAAAGCUAAAUAUUGGCGAGAGACCGAUAGCGAACAAGUACCGUGAGGGAAAGAUGAAAAGCACUUUGGAAAGAGAGUUAAACAGUACGUGAAAUUGUUAAAAGGGAAACGAUUGAAGUCAGUCGCGUUUACUUGGACUCAGCCUUACCUCGGUUUGGUGCAUUUCCUUGUGAACGGGCCAGCGUCAAUGUUGUCCGUUGGAAAAGGGUUGGAGAAAUGUGGCUCUUUCGGGAGUGUUAUAGUCUCUGAUCGUAUACAACGGCUGAUAUUGAGUGGUACAGCAUGCUUCGGCGGUGCUUGUGCUGGCAUAAU
rnacentral:rRNA from 1 species